GCUCGUGUCGUGAGAUGUUCGGUUAAGUCCGCUACGAGCGCAACCCUCGCUGUGUGUUACAAGUGUCACACGGGACUGCCGGUAUCAAGCCGGAGGAAGGUGGGGAUGACGUCAAGUCAGCAUGGCCUUUAUGUCCUGGGCUACACACACGCUACAAUGGUCGACACAAUAGGUAGCCAAGCCGCGAGGUGGAGCCAAUCCUUAAAGUCGGCCUCAGUUCAGAUUGUAGGCUGCAACCCGCCUGCAUGAAGAUGGAGUUGCUAGUAACCGCAGGUCAGCAAUACUGCGGUGAAUACGUUCCCGGGUCUU
rnacentral:rRNA from 1 species